AGGGUUUGAUCCUGGCUCAGAGUGAACGCUGGCGGCGUGACUUAGGCAUGCAAGUCGAGCGAUAUUUCGUGUCUGUAGCAAUACAGAUACGUUGUAUAGCGGCAAACGGGUUAAUAACACGUGGGUAACAUGCCUUAAGGAGUGGGAUAGCUUCGUGAAAACGAAAGUAAUACCACGUACGUUCUACGAUUUGAAAUGGUUGUAGAAGAUAGAUGGCCUCUUCUUGUAAGCUAUCGCCUUAAGAGUGGCCCGCGGCCUAUCAGGUUGUUGGUGGGGUAAUGGCCUACCAAGCCAAAGACGGGUAGCUGGCUUUAGAGAGUGGUCAGCAACAUCGGGACUGAGAUACUGCCCGGACUCCUACGGGAGGCUGCAGUCGUGAAUCUUUCUCAAUGGGCGAAAGCCUGAAGAUGCGACGCCGCGUGAAGGAUGAAGGUCUUCGGAUUGUAAACUUCUUUUGUUAGGGAGGAACGCUGACCGGUGAACAAUCGGUUAGUUUGACUGUACCUGAAGAAUAAGCCACGGCUAACUCCGUGCCAGCAGCCGCGGUAAUACGGAGGUGGCGAGCGUUACUCGGUUUGACUGGGUGUAAAGGGUCCGUAGGUGGAUUGAUAAGUAGAAGGUGAAAUCCAACAGCUCAACUGUUGAACUGCCUUCUAAACUAUCUUUCUUGAGGUUAGAAGAGGAGAACGGAACUGCCGGUGUAAAGGUGAAAUUUGUGGAUAUCGGCAGGAACGCCUGUGGUGAAGACGGUUCUCUGGUCUAUACCUGACGCUAAGGGACGAAAGCUAGGGGAGCAAACAGAAUUAGAUACUCUGGUAGUCCUAGCUGUAAACGAUGGUCACUCGGUGUCUGCUCCAUUAGGGGUGGGUGCCUUAGGUAACCCGAUAAGUGACACACCUGGGGACUACGGUCGCAAGACUAAAACUCAAAGGAAUUGACGGGGGCCCGCACAAGCGGUGGAACACGUGGUUUAAUUCGAUGCUACGCGAGGAACCUUACCAAGGUUUGACAUGGUAGAAGUAGUGCUACGAAAGUAGUUCCGACUGGUAACCAAUCCAGAACUAUCACAGGUGCUGCAUGGCUGUCGUCAGCUCGUGCCGUGAGGUGUUUCCUUAAGUGGAAGAACGAGCGCAACCCUCGUCUUUAGUUGCCACUCUUGGCCUUUGGUCAAGAAGCACUCUAAAGAGACUGCACGCGUUAAGUGUGAGGAAGGCGGGGACGACGUCAAGUCCGCAUGGCCUUUAUAUCUUGGGCUACACACGUGUUACAAUGCCUAUUACAGAGGGACGCCAAACCGUAAGGUGGAGCAAAUCCCAGAAAGAUAGGCCCAGUUCGGAUUGAGGGCUGCAACUCGACCUCAUGAAGCUGGAAUCGCUAGUAAUGGCAGAUCAGCUACGCUGCCGUGAAUACGUUCCCGGGCCUUGUACACACCGCCCGUCAAGCGCUGGAAGUGGGGAGCACCUGAAGCUCCGUAAGGAGUCACGGUGAACUUCAUGAUUGGCGCUAAGUCGUAACAAGGUA
rnacentral:rRNA from 1 species